rnacentral:lncRNA from 1 species
CUCUCUCUCUCUCUCUCUCUCUCUCUCUCUCUCCCUCUCUCUCAUUCAUCCCCUCCCUCCCUCUCUCUCACCAUUCAUUCAUGCAUGUGCCUCUCUAUGCUCAUAGUCUCUAGUUCAAUUUUUUUCAAAAUUACAUUUGGGUUCUCUUCUCUCACAUACCACAGAUCCUAAUUACCUAGGAUUCAUUUCCCUAGAUUCCUAUAAUCCAAGCACUAGGUAGAUAAAAAUAUGAGAAACCAUGCAAUAAGCAUUCCAUUCGCUCAAAAUCAGUCAAUGUCCAUAUUCAUCCAUAAAAAUAAAACAAUGAACCACCCAAUAAAUAUCCCAUUUAUUCACAAAAUACAAGUGACUACGUUAAGCUAAAAGAAGCAUGCAAAGAGUCGUGUCCAUAUUGCACCAAUUAUGUAUUUAAGCAUGGUCCAAAAAUUAGUAGAUAAAGUCAUCAUGAGAGAAAAGGAAAAGAAGUAGAGAGAUGAGAUAGAAGGUCCCAAAACAAUACCCAUGGAAAGGAAUAUUGUUGCCAAAAAGUCCAUACUGAAAUAUACGACUACCAAAGAGGAAAGUCGACAUUCCGUACCCCCUUCACAAAAAGCCCAUACAUAUCCCCACAAAAAGCAAUCAUAGUUAAGCCUGAAAUUGGAGUAUCGCACACAGGCUCCAAAAAACAAUUGGUGCCAAUAUAGUGGGCUAAGAAGCGAGUUCGCCCCAUUGUGUCUCAAGAAGCGACCCGCCUAGCACCUAGGCAGGCCAGGGGGGCCUGGGCGCAUCACCCAAGCCUAGGCGGGUAUCUAGGCGACCAAUUAGGAGUCUGGGACCCCACUAGGCGGGCGCCCAGCACCCAAACCUGGGCGGCCGCCCAAGGGCGAAAAUGUCCCUCGUUUAGAGGCAUUUUUUAUCCUUUUACCCCAAAAUAAGGAGGAAAUGAGGGGUUUAGAUUAUUGAAAACGAGGCAUUUUUAAUCUUUUUACUCCUAAAUAAGGGGGAAAAGAGGGGUUUAGGUUCUUGUGUGACCUAAACCCCUUUGUUUACCUUUAGACUAGAAUAUUUUUUCAAAAUAAUUACUUUUUUUGCAUUUUUAAGAGAUCAAUCGGGUAUUUUAGAGUAUUGAGAACUCCAUCCAAAUAUCAUCUUUUUGGUUUAGAUUUGAAUUUGAUGGUUUUUUAAGUUUAUUAGAGGAUUUUUUGGAAGCAUUUGAGAUUGGGAAACAUCUCAAAUAUUGAAGAUUGAAGAUCAAGCAAAAAGGUUAGUUAAAAAUCUUCAUAUUUGAGAUUUUAUUUGUUAUUUCAAUAACUUCUUCGGGCUAUUCUAGAAGUGGUGAUCUGGGUUGGACAAAAAUUGUAUAAGAUGUAAUUAUUGCAAAAAAGAUAUUGAUCGGGUAUAAAACGGUACAAAAAACACCUUGUUGAUAUUAGGGGGAAUGUUGCCCAUUGUAAAAAUGUUCCUGAAAGCUAUUAGAGAGGAGAUUAAGCAAUAUAUGAGUUCCGUAAAAUACAAAAAGAAACAAAAGCCAUGACAUUUGGAUAGAUCUAUUUCUGGUUCGUUUAGAAGUGGUGAUCCAGGUUGGAACUAUGGUUAUGUCCUGAAUCCAAAUGAUUAAAAUUGUAUAAGGUGUAAAAUACCAAAGGGGCAUUAACCGAUUCAAGAAACACCAUGCGGGUAUUAAAAGGAAUGGUGUUUUUUGUACAAAUGUUCUAGAAGCUAAUGGGGAUGAUAUUAGACAAUAUUUGAAAUUAGUAAAACUAGAAAAGGAAGAAAAAGAGCCUUGUUUUAUGGAAAUAUCUUCUACCGGUUCUUCUAGAAGUGGUGUUCUGGGUUGGAAGUAUAGUCAUAACCCAAAUCUGAAUGACAAAAAUUAUAUAAGUUGUAAAUAUUGUGGAAAUGAUACUAAUGGUUGUAUAUAUUGGUUCAAGAAACACUUUGUCGGUAUAAAGGGGGAUGUUGCCCAGUGUAAAAAUGUUUUUGAGGCUACUGAGGAGAUUAAGCAAUAUUUUAGUUAAGUAAAACACAAAAAACAAGAAAAGGGUGAAGAGGCACCAGAUAGAGCAGCCAAAACUCCUAGGGCCUCAUCUGCACAGAGUAAGAGAUGGGUAGAAAAAAGGGAGGGAGACGCAGAUUCAGAAGAAACGGAGAAGGACGAGUGUUAUGUUCAAGAGGGAAAUGACUCUGAUGAUGAUGGACUAGAUUCUGAUGCAUGAGGCUUAUGAUGACUGAGUGUUGAGUCUUAGACUGUAUAUUUUCUUUUACUUUUCUAGUUUUUCUACUUAUCUACUCUUAUGCGUAUGCCUGUAUGGUUGUAUCAUUGUAUGGAACGAUGGACUAUGGAGCAUGGAGUAUGGUCUAUAGAGUAUGGAUUAUGGAUUGUGCAUGUAUUACUAAUUUAUUAAUUGUUAUUAUAUUUUAUUUUUGGUUGUGCUAGUAGUCUAUCUAUUACAAAUUUACAAUGGUUUGGAACUUUUUGGAUUAUGGGAUUUCUAAUAUUUUAUGAGAUAUACUCAUAUUCUCUUAUCCCCUGCCCCUCUUCUUCAACCUAGGUCCUAGGCCACCCAGAAAUCUAGGUGCUUGCCUAGGCCCUUGGCGGCCAAGACCCCCAUGAGUGCCUAAGUGCCGCCCAACAUUUUUUGAAACAUUGAUGCCCCAAGAUGGGGGUCAUCAUUUUCCAUUAACCCAUAUAAAUCUGGGUAGAAGGUAUGGCAUCCAAAUUAUAAGUGGUAGAUGAGCUAGGGAUUUAAGAGAUGGUCCAACUCAUUGUGAAUCCUCUCUAGCUUAACUCUGAGUUGGGCACACUCUUGCUUGUGCAUCUUAGAGGUUUGUUGCCCGGUGAGCAAAGAUUGAGUUAACUCAAGAUUGUGGGUUUCCAUGGUAUUGCAGUGCCUCUGCAGGUCUUGCAAUGUUUGGGAAAGGGCAGGUAAGUGGUCUAUAAGGAGAAGUGCUUCACGGGCCGUAGAUUUCUUUGUGGCUUUUUUGGUAAAAGUAACCUCGCCAUAUAUAGUCUUGCCUCAAAGGGUCGCAGAGACUGACUAGCCUUUCCAAUAGAGGUUUGUACUCAUAAAUAAAAUAUUGGGCAAGGAUGCUCUUUCUUUUUGUGUUUUUUGUUAUAAAAGAUUCUCAAACAAAAUUGGUCCUUUUGGAAGCUGGUGAGGAAUUGCAGGAGGUCGAGGAGGUUGAGGUUGACGAAUGCUAGGCUGAACAAUAGAAAGUCCAAGAUUAAGUUUCGCCAAGUCCUUCUUCGACCAUUAAUACCUAUACAAAAAAAUUGUUCGAGCAAAGGCCUUAUGUCGUUUUGCACUUGCG